rnacentral:pre_miRNA from 1 species
UUUUCAGUUUUCCUCAGCAGUUAACUGCAGUCGAUUUCAUAAUUCGUAGUUAACUGCCGAGGAGCAU